rnacentral:rRNA from 1 species
UACGGAGGAUGCAAGCGUUAUCCGGAAUGAUUGGGCGUAAAGCGUCCGCAGGUGGCAAUGUAAGUCUGCUGUCAAAGCGUCUGGCUCAACCAGAUAAAGGCAGUGGAAACUACAUAGCUAGAGUAAAGUAGGGGUAGAGGGAAUUCCUGGUGUAGCGGUGAAAUGCGUAGAGAUCAGGAAGAACACCGGUGGCGAAAGCGGCAUCCUGGACCGGCAUUGACGCUGAGGAGCGAAAGCUAGGGGAGCAAACGGG